UACGAAGGGGGCUAGCGUUGUUCGGAAUUACUGGGCGUAAAGCGCACGUAGGCGGAUUGUUAAGUCGGGUGUGAAAGCCCCGGGCUCAACCUGGGAAUUGCAUUCGAGACUGCGUAGCUAGGGUGCGGAAGAGGGAAGCGGAAUUUCCGGUGUAGCGGUGAAAUGCGUAGAUAAUCGGAAGGAACACCAGUGGCGAAAGCGGCUUCCUGGUCCAGCACCGACGUCAGGCACGAAAGCGUGGGGAGCAAACGGG
rnacentral:rRNA from 1 species